UGUUUCAUCAACCCUGUUAGAUAUGUCACUUUGAUAUCUUGGGCAGGUCGACGACUUUAUUUCACCCUUCUGAUUCCUCGAUCAGAGGUUGUCCUUGCAUCGAUGCUCUCAAUAAGCUCUUGUCCGAAUAUUAUCCUUCAGAUUGAACCGUUGCCAAUGCUUCAGUCUUCAGCUAUUCGAACUCUACGAUUCUGAUGCAUAUCUUCA
rnacentral:lncRNA from 1 species